rfam:Otolemur garnettii contig059044, whole genome shotgun sequence.
CCAAAGGCUCUUUUCAGAGCCAACCAGUUUCUCUGAAAAAGGCCGU